AGUGAACGCUGGCGGUAGGCCUAACACAUGCAGGUCGAACGGCAGCACAGUAAGAGCUUGCUCUUACGGGUGGCGAGUGGCGGACGGGUGAGGAAUACAUCGGAAUCUACUUUUUCGUGGGGGAUAACGUAGGGAAACUUACGCUAAUACCGCAUACGACCUACGGGUGAAAGCAGGGGAUCUUCGGACCUUGCGCGAUUGAAUGAGCCGAUGUCGGAUUAGCUAGUUGGCGGGGUAAAGGCCCACCAAGGCGACGAUCCGUAGCUGGUCGGAGAGGAUGAUCGGCCACACUGGAACUGAGACACGGUCCAGACUCCUACGGGAGGCAGCAGUGGGGAAUAUUGGACAAUGGGCGCAAGCCUGAUCCAGCCAUACCGCGUGGGUGAAGAAGGCCUUCGGGUUGUAAAGCCCUUUUGUUGGGAAAGAAAAGCAGCAGGUUAAUACCCCGCUGUUCUGACGGUACCCAAAGAAUAAGCACCGGCUAACUUCGUG
rnacentral:rRNA from 1 species